rnacentral:rRNA from 1 species
UACGAAGGGUGCAAACGUUGCUCGGAAUCACUGGGCGUAAAGCGCACGUAGGCGGAUUGCUAAGUCAGGGGUGAAAUACUGGAGCUCAACUCCAGAACUGCCUUUGAUACUGGCGGCCUUGAGUCCGGGAGAGGUGAGUGGAACUGCGAGUGUAGAGGUGAAAUUCGUAGAUAUUCGCAAGAACACCAGUGGCGAAGGCGGCUCACUGGCCCGCUACUGACGCUGAGGUGCGAAAGCGUGGGGAGCAAACAGG